UACGGAGGGUGCAAGCGUUAAUCGGAAUUACUGGGCGUAAAGCGCACGCAGGUGGCUGAGUAAGUCGAUUGUGAAAGCCCUGGGCUUAACCUGGGAAUUGCAGUCGAUACUGCUCGGCUAGAGUAUGGGAGAGGGUAGUGGAAUUCCCGGUGUAGCGGUGAAAUGCGUAGAGAUGCGGAGGAACACCGAUGGCGAAGGCAGCCCCCUGGGCUAACACUGACGCUCAGGCACGAAAGCGUGGGGAGCAAACAGG
rnacentral:rRNA from 1 species